UACGUAGGUGACGAGCGUUAUCCGGAAUACUGGGCGUAAAGCGCACGCAAGCGGUUGGACAAGUCUGGCGUGAAAUCCUCUGGCUUAACCAGGGGCGGUCGCUGGAGACUGUUCGGCUUGAGGCGAUGAGAGGGGUGCAGAAUUCCCGGUGUAGUGGUGGAAUGCGUAGAGGAUCGGGAGGAAUACCAGUGGCGAAAGCGGCACCCUGGCGUCGUACUGACGCACAUGUGCGAAAGCGUGGGGAGCGAACAGG
rnacentral:rRNA from 1 species